CCCGCCAAGCCUCUACCCUUUUGGGCACGCUCAAAUGUGGCGGGU
rnacentral:sRNA from 1 species